rnacentral:lncRNA from 1 species
UGACAAAAACAUACUAAGUAUUAUUAAUCGGCUAGCAAAGAGAAGUUAAACAUACGACAUGAAGUGAAUUAACUAGUGCGCACGACUAGUUAAAAAAACAAACUUCAUUUGACAAUAAGUUUCUAAUUAAAUUAUGGCUGCGCCUGGGCAGCGUUAUUGUGAGAGUGAAAGUGGGCGUGCUGCUACUCCCCUCAUUCCCAACAUGUAUCAAGUACCUGCAUUGAGUAAUGCAAGAGUGAGAUGACACAUCUCAGCAAGUAAAAUAAUAUCAAACUGUUUAACCACAUAAGAACAUUGUUUUACCACCACUUGAUUCCACAACCUUCUUAUUACGAAGGUGCAGCACGUAUACAACGUACAACACACCUAGUCACCACACCUCGCAGGUAGAAACCACAAUAGUAACAUAGUAAUGUCACACUUCAUAUAUACCUCAUGAGUGCAAAUGUCUGCAAAUGCAAGGAUGACUUCUGCCUUCAUACCUCUAAGGAUAUGAAGCCGCAUCGUACCCCUCCUCGGGCAACGUACGAUGCUAAAAAUGUACCGGUACGGUCGGACCAUAAGAUCACGACAUAACUUCAAAAUGCAAGAUGGAUGAUGCGAUGAGCAUGUCAUGCCUACAACACUUCAUAUAACGUGAUUCAAAAAAAUACUUCAACUUCAUCCAAGAUGGAAAUCAACCACAUAUAUCAUUACCAAAUUAUGAUCAUCCACAAUAUUAGACAAUUGAGAAUUAAUACUUCCAAACAAAUAAACUUCAUCAUAGAAUUCAAUGAUUAACAUAAUUAAAACUUAUGCAUACUCAAUGUCAGAGAAUAGGAUGCAACCCAAACGGUAGCAACCACCACUGUAUUUACUUGCCUUUACCGGAAGUUCGGGCAAAUCCCUAAGUACGAUCCGGAAGUCCACCACCUGUUUUUUACACACAACUUAGUGCAUCAAUUUCACAUAAUCAGGCUCAUAAACGACGCCGCACCUACGCACAAACUCAAACCCCGCCGCGGGUUGCAUCUCUCCCCACACCCUCCAAACUGCAGCGGCGCUGCUUAAUAAUUUCAUAACUUUAAAAUUAUGACAGCAGUGGUAACAAACAAAAACUCCAAAGGCAUCUACAUGAAAUUCCCCACAAGUUUUGUAUACAAUUUAUAAUUAAAUUCCAACAUCUAAUUAGCCUAAAACAGUCCACAAGAUGAACCCUAUAAUCUGUUUUUUUGUCUUUUGGACAGCGACAUACCCGGAUUCAAACAGCGAUAUCUUUUAAAAUAUAAUUCCAAAUCAAGCACAUAAGUACUUACUGGAAAGAUAAGACAAAGCCCUACAUGAUUAUCAUACUGGUUAACACUAAUUACCCACGAAAAAUUCCCAGAAACUGUUAAUACUACUGCUGUUCACCCACCUGAAAAUUCUGUUUUUUUUGGACAGCAACAUAACCGGAUUCAAACAACGAUAUCUCCUAAAUUAUAACUCCAAAUUGAGGGCAUAAGUACUCGUUGGAAAGGUAUGACAAAGCUCUACAUGAUUCUCCCACUGAUCCCUGCUAAUUGGCCACGAAAAAUUCCCAGAAAUCACUAGAACUACUGCUGUUCGUCCACCCACUAAAUUUCUGGACAGCACCUCUACCAAAUCGCAUAGGUAAACAUGUAACCAAUUGGAUUGCAGCACAAAUACAACAAAAUGAUCACGAAAAUCACCUUGGGUUCCUCCUUCUUUUCUUCCUUCUUCCUCCCUCCAAACUCCCAUGGAAGACUCGCACCCACACGACGGACACCAAGCGGGGAGGCUCCACCUUGGAGAGGAAGAGGUGGGGGAGGCUAGGGUUGAGGGGUGGCGCUGCAAUCACUUGGGGAAGAAGGAGAGGGAUUGGGGCGGCUGCAAGAGUGGAAGAGAGAGGGGAGGGGCGGCCAAAGGGG